rnacentral:rRNA from 1 species
AAAGAUUAAGAUGAGAGAUUGCUGGGGGAUCGUCUGAACAGGCCUGCGCUUAAUUGCGCGGCCAGUUCUUGAUUCUCUGCUAUCAGUUUUCUAUUUCUCAUCCUAAACACAAUGGAGUUUUUUCUCUAUGAACUACUUCCCUGGAGAGCUCGUCUCUCCAGUGGACAUAAACACAAACAAUAUUUUGUAUUAUGAAAAACUAUUAUACUAUAAAAUUUAAUAUUCAAAACUUUCAACAACGGAUCUCUUGGUUCUCGCAUCGAUGAAGAACGCAGCGAAUUGCGAUAUGUAUUGUGAAUUGCAGAUUUUCGUGAAUCAUCAAAUCUUUGAACGCACAUUGCGCCCUCUGGUAUUCCAGGGGGCAUGCCUGUUUGAGCGUCAUUUCUCUCUCAAACCUUUGGGUUUGGUAGUGAGUGAUACUCGUCUCGGGUUAACUUGAAAGUGGCUAGCCGUUGCCAUCUGCGUGAGCAGGGCUGCGUGUCAAGUCUAUGGACUCGACUCUUGCACAUCUACGUCUUAGGUUUGCGCCAAUUCGUGGUAAGCUUGGGUCAAAGAGACUCAUAGGUGUUAUAAAGACUCGCUGGUGUUUGUCUCCUUGAGGCAUACGGCUUUAACCAAAACUCUCAAAGUUUGACCUCAAAUCAGGUAGGAGUACCCGCUGAACUUAAGCAUAUCAAUAAGCGGAGGAAAAGAAACCAACCGGGAUUGCCUUAGUAACGGCGAGUGAAGCGGCAAAAGCUCAAAUUUGAAAUCUGGCGUCUUCGACGUCCGAGUUGUAAUUUGAAAAAGGCGACUUUGUAACUGGUCCUUGUCUAUGUUCCUUGCAACAGGACGUCAUAAAAGGUGAGAAUCCCUUGUGGCGAGGAUCCCCACUUUUUGUAAAAUGCUUUCCACAAACACAUUUGUUGGGGAAAGAACCUCCAAGUGGGGGGGAAAAUUCCACCCAAAGCCAAAAAUUGGCCAAAAGACCAAUAACCAACAAUUACCCUGUAUGGAAAGAAUGACAAG